rnacentral:rRNA from 1 species
GAGUUUGAUCCUGGCUCAGGAUGAACGCUAGCGACAGGCUUAACACAUGCAAGUCGAGGGGCAGCGGGGCUUUUGGGCAACCAGAGGCCGCCGGCGACCGGCGCACGGGUGAGUAACGCGUAUGCAACCUGCCCGGCUCAGUGGGAUAACCCGGAGAAAUCCGGACUAAUACCGCAUGCGCCCCCUUGGGGACAUCCCCCCGGGGGCAAAGGAGGCGACUCCGGAGCCGGAUGGGCAUGCGUGGCAUUAGCUAGUUGGCGGGGUAACGGCCCACCAAGGCGACGAUGCCUAGGGGUUCUGAGAGGAAGGUCCCCCACACUGGUACUGAGACACGGUCCAGACUCCUACGGGAGGCAGCAGUGAGGAAUAUUGGUCAAUGGGCGGUAGCCUGAACCAGCCAAGUCGCGUGAGGGACGACGGCCCUACGGGUUGUAAACCUCUUUUGCCGGGGAGCAAGGCGGGCCACGUGUGGCACGUCGGAGAGCACCCGAAGAAAAAGCAUCGGCUAACUCCGUGCCAGCAGCCGCGGUAAUACGGAGGAUGCGAGCGUUAUCCGGAUUUAUUGGGUUUAAAGGGUGCGCAGGCGGAUUUUUAAGUCAGCGGUCAAAUCGUGGGGCUCAACCCCAUCCAGCCGUUGAAACUGGGGAUCUAGAGUGUGCGAGAGGUAUGCGGAAUGCGUGGUGUAGCGGUGAAAUGCAUAGAUAUCACGCAGAACCCCGAUUGCGAAGGCAGCAUACCGGUGCACAACUGACGCUCAGGCACGAAAGCGUGGGUAUCGAACAGGAUUAGAUACCCUGGUAGUCCACGCAGUAAACGAUGAAUGCUACCUGUUUGGCCUGAUUGAAGGCUGAGCGGGACAGCGAAAGCGUUAAGCAUUCCACCUGGGGAGUACGCCGGCAACGGUGAAACUCAAAGGAAUUGACGGGGGCCCGCACAAGCGGAGGAACAUGUGGUUUAAUUCGAUGAUACGCGAGGAACCUUACCCGGGCUCAAACGCAUAAUGACGACAGUUGAAAGAUUGUUUCCCUUCGGGGCAUUAUGCGAGGUGCUGCAUGGUUGUCGUCAGCUCGUGCCGUGAGGUGUCGGCUUAAGUGCCAUAACGAGCGCAACCCCUAUCGACAGUUGCUAACGAGUCGAGUCGAGGACUCUGUCGAGACUGCCGGCGCAAGCUGUGAGGAAGGCGGGGAUGACGUCAAAUCAGCACGGCCCUUACGUCCGGGGCGACACACGUGUUACAAUGGCAGGGACAGCGGGAAGCCACCAAGCGAUUGGGCGCGGAACCCGAAACCCUGUCUCAGUUCGGAUUGGAGUCUGCAACUCGACUCCAUGAAGCUGGAUUCGCUAGUAAUCGCGCAUCAGCCAUGGCGCGGUGAAUACGUUCCCGGGCCUUGCACACACCGCCCGUCA